rnacentral:rRNA from 1 species
AUACCCGCGGCCCGAGUUGGUGGUCGAUAUUAUUGAGCCUAAAACGUCCGUAGCCGGUUUUGUAAAUCCUUGGGUAAAUCGACCAGCUUAACUGUUCGAAGUCCGGGAGACUGCAAGACUUGGGAUCGGGAGAGGUGAGAGGUACUUCUGGGGUAGGGGUAAAAUCCUGUAAUCCUAGAAGGACCACCGGUGGCGAAGGCGUCUCACUAGAACGAAUCCGACGGUGAGGGACGAAGCCCUGGGGCGC